AUUAAUGAGCAUCCGACACACGUGACCGCCGCCUCAGACCCACGUGACCACAGAGCUAGCUCCGUGGAAAGGCCUCAGUACAGCCUCGGUCUCUCCUGGAAACUGUGUCGGGAUUUUGAGUCUCUGUGCUUGUGAAUUCUGUUUUGGAUAAUAUUGGUGCAAUUGUUGGACAAAAUGACUUGCAGUGGUAUUAAUUGCACUAAUAGAGCGUCCAAGGAGUCUCCACUUCAUUUUUUUCGGGAAGGACCUGAUUGGUGUCCAGAACCUGCUGAAGAAGCACGAGGCUCUGCAGGCUGAGAUCACAGGUCAUGAACCUCGCAUCAAGGCUGUCACCCAGAAAGGAGAGACCAUAAUGGAGGAAGGUCACUUCGCUGGUUCAGAACCCUCGGCCCGUCAGAACAUUCUUAUCCACCACGUUCUAACACCAGACCUGUUAACCCGACAGCAACAAGUGGCUCCAACUGACGAUGAGACCGGGAAGGAGCUGGUUCUGGCUCUGUACGACUACCAGGAGAAGAGUCCUGGAGAGGUCACCAUGAAGAAGGGCGACAUCCUCACGCUGCUCAACAGCACCAACAAGGUUGUUUUACUUGAACUCGCGUCUUUAGCUGAAUGAGGAUGGAGAGACGGGUCUGACCUGGAGCAGGUCGAGGUCUUGCAGAAGAAGUUUGACGACUUCCAGAAGGACCUGAAGGCCAACGAGUCCCGCCUGAGGGACAUCAACAAGGUGGCAUCUGAACUGGAGUCAGAAGGUCUGAUGGCUGAGGAGGCUCCUAUGGUUCAGGCUCAGCAACAAGAACAUCUGGGUUCUGCUCCUGGAAAGGAUGAAGCCGACUCUAACCCCGGCUUUCCACAGGAGUCGUCAGCAGCACGUUUACUGCAGCAGCACGUCAUAGCUGCUGAUAGGAACCGCUGUGGUCAACAGAACCUUUUCCACCGGAGCCGUCAGCAGCGCGAGUCGGCCACGUCUCAGGAGCAGCAUGUCGCGGCCUUUACGCGCCGGUUCUAUUUUCUACGCGCGACGCCUCUGAAACGGGUCAAGUUCGACAUUUUUGGGGAAGGAAAGACAGGAAAUCGGACGCGGAAAUUGAGAGAAGCUACCGAGAUUUUCAGAAUAAAGAACGUACUGCCUUCCGGUUGCUUUACUUUUAAAAAAGGUUACUAACUGAGCGGCCCCGUGAGAAGUUAUCACCUAGCUAGCGGUCUCCUUUGUUUUUCAGGUCCGUAUUGGCGAUUAUAAAACGGACAGAACAUAAAACACAAACCAUGUUGUAGUUUUCUCCUGCUUGUUGUUGUGUUUACUGACGAAGUCACUCGAGUGACUUCGUGCUCGGUCGGUGACAGCUGCUCCCCUGCUGCUUCGCGUCUCGUGGGAAGGGCCAAGCAGCAGCUUACGCGAGCAAGACGUGCUGCUGCAGUAACGUGCUGCUGACGGCUCCCGUGGAAACCCGGGGUAACACGGCGUCACCCUAGAAGGUGAGUUCAUUCAGCUGAUCAGAGGUCACCUCUGAUGGCCGCAGUCACGGCCGACCGUGCUGACAUCACACAGGAAUUCAGGUGACCCGGCAGGCACCAGGUGCUGGUGAAAGUGGGGACAUGUCAGCUGGUUGCCAUGGCUACAGUUAUCUUUAUGCAUCUGUAUGACUGCUGACUGGUGUGUGUUUCCUGUGACCUUUGACCUCAGACCGUACGGUUGGGCGUUCAGACGACGGCUAACUUUAAUUCCAUCAAGGUAAGAGGAAGCUCUUCCCUUCCUGUCUGAGCGAUCCGUCUCCAGGUUUCCUCGUCCGGCGUCCAGCCCGCUGGCGUCUACCUUCAUCUCACUGGGUUUGGUUUCUCUCCAGGAGCUAAACAACCGCUGGCGCUCGCUGCAACAUGCUGGGCAGCGCCCAUGAGGUGUAGCGCUUCCACAGAGACGCUGAUGAGACCAAAGAGUGGAUCGAGGAGAAGAACCAGGCCCUGAACACAGACAACUACGGCCACCACCUGGCCAGCGUUCAGGCUCUGCAGCGUGAACAUGAAGGCUUUGAGCGUGACCUGGCAGCUCUGGGUGAUAAGGUCCGCAUUCCUGAUCGGUACCAGGACCCGAGUUGUCUCUGGAGACACGUUCUUCAUGGUUCUGGUGACUCCACCCCAGCCGUUCCUGAUCAGCGAUCAGCGGGGUGCUUUCCUAUUUAAGGUGGAUGGAGGACACAAUUUGACGCCAGAAGAUUGCCUCAGUUUUGGAUUCCUGUCGACCUCAUUGGAUACUGACCUCUACUCCAGGAUUUGGAUAUUCAACACACGGACCUUAUCACCACCCUCCAUAACCCACCUCUCAUCUCACCCAGUGCCCCAUCCACCAGGACGCCCCGCUUCUCUCCACCUCUGCUCCCUCUCCUGCGCUUCCCCCGGCUCUCUACCUCUCCCUCCUCCAGCCAACACAUACACCCACCACAAUGCUGAGCUGUUGUUGCAGUUCCAACCACAGACUUAUCUGUGCACCUUAAGUUCCUCCUUAUAAAUAAAUCAUUUUUUCCAUCAGUUUUUGGUCAGUGUUGUAUUCUGCAUGUCUUGGGUUAAGUACCUUCCUCCAAACAUGACACUCCUCCUCAAAGAGCAAAUCUGUUCAGCACAUUCUGACAGACAGACCACCAUUCUUCUGUCAUGAUGCUGUACAGGACAUUUUUAGAGUUUUUCUUUUUAAAGAUAAAUAGGAUUACAUUUAAAUAGCAAUACUUUCACAUUAUCAUUUUCCCACACUUCUGUAUAACUGUAUUUUGUUGUUUUUCAAUAAAGAAUGACAAACUA